AGUCGAGGGGUAGAGUUCUUCGGAACUUGAGACCGGCGCACGGGUGCGUAACGCGUAUGCAAUCUACCUUUUACAGAGGGAUAGCCCAGAGAAAUUUGGAUUAAUACCUCAUAGUAUAACGACCUGGCAUCAGGAUGUUAUUAAAGUCACAACGGUAAAAGAUGAGCAUGCGUCCCAUUAGCUAGUUGGUAAGGUAACGGCUUACCAAGGCUACGAUGGGUAGGGGUCCUGAGAGGGAGAUCCCCCACACUGGUACUGAGACACGGACCAGACUCCUACGGGAGGCAGCAGUGAGGAAUAUUGGACAAUGGGCGCAAGCCUGAUCCAGCCAUGCCGCGUGCAGGAUGACGGUCCUAUGGAUUGUAAACUGCUUUUAUACGAGAAGAAACACUGCUUCGUGAAGCAGCUUGACGGUAUCGUAAGAAUAAGGAUCGGCUAACUCCGUGCCAGCAGCCGCGGUAAUACGGAGGAUCCAAGCGUUAUCCGGAAUCAUUGGGUUUAAAGGGUCCGUAGGCGGUUUAAUAAGUCAGUGGUGAAAGCCCAUCGCUCAACGGUGGAACGGCCAUUGAUACUGUUAGACUUGAAUUAUUAGGAAGUAACUAGAAUAUGUAGUGUAGCGGUGAAAUGCUUAGAGAUUACAUGGAAUACCAAUUGCGAAGGCAGGUUACUACUAAUGGAUUGACGCUGAUGGACGAAAGCGUGGGUAGCGAACAGGAUUAGAUACCCUGGUAGUCCACGCCGUAAACGAUGGAUACUAGCUGUUGGAAAGCAUUUCAGUGGCUAAGCGAAAGUGAUAAGUAUCCCACCUGGGGAGUACGUUCGCAAGAAUGAAACUCAAAGGAAUUGAC
rnacentral:rRNA from 1 species